rnacentral:rRNA from 1 species
AAGUCCUACGGGUGGCAGCAGUGGGGAAUUUUCCGCAAUGGGCGAAAGCCUGACGGAGCGACGCCGCGUGGGGGAUGAAGGCCUUCGGGUCGUAAACCCCUGUCAGAGGGAAAGAAGGGUGUCGGCGUGAAUAGCGCCGGCAUCUGACGGUACCUUCAGAGGAAGCCCCGGCCAACUCUGUGCCAGCAGCCGCGGUAAGACAGAGGGGGCAAGCGUUGCUCGGAAUCACUGGGCGUAAAGGGCGCGUAGGCGGGAUGGCAAGUCAGUCGUGAAAUCUCUCGGCUCAACCGAGAAACGUCGGCUGAUACUGCCGUUCUUGAGGGAUGCAGAGGAGACUGGAAUUCCCGGUGUAGCGGUGAAAUGUGUAGAGAUCGGGAGGAACACCGGUGGCGAAGGCGGGUCUCUGGGCAUUUCCUGACGCUGAGGCGCGAAAGCGUGGGGAGCAAACGGGAUUAGAUACCCUAGUAGUCC